CACAGUUCGGAUCGGAGUCUGCAACUCGACUCCGUGAAGUUGGAAUCGCUAGUAAUCGCGGAUCAGAAUGCCGCGGUGAAUACGUUCCCGGGCCUUGUACACACCGCCCGUCACACCAUGGGAGCGGGUUUUACCAGAAGUAGGUAGCUUAACCGCAAGGAGGGCGCUUACCACGGUAUGAUUCGUGACUGGGGUGAAGUCGUAACAAGGUAGCCG
rnacentral:rRNA from 13 species